rnacentral:lncRNA from 1 species
UGGCUCUCAGAUCUCUCCAGCUGGUUCAGAAAGCCCUGAGAUGCCUCACAUGAGCUUAGGAGCUAGUACUCUCUGCCAGACUGCCCUCUCUUCCUCCCUCUGCCAUUCUCUCCUACAUCUCCCUGAUUCCAGAAGGAGGAAGACUUUUAAGAAGUGGCUUCUUAUUCCUCAUGCAAAGAGAACUGGGUCUUUCCUGAGUCUUGGCUACAUCUCCAUUCUUGGUUUCUGUGCAAGAUCUCUGAGUCCUUUUAAUAAAUCCACUCUGUGUGAAUACUAAAAGGAAAAUGGAAAGGAGGGCAAAUAGAAUUAGCUGAUUUUCUCAUGAGGAAUCACAGUACCAACAAGAGCUCAGAUUAACCAUAGCUGUGUGUGUGGCCAGGUGGGAGACAUGGUAACUGUAAGCAGGUAGCCGGUUUGAGCAGAUUAAGAGAGAAGAGAAGAUUGAGACUAUUUCGAAAAAGCAGAUUGAAGCCUCCAAAGAC